CCCUGCCCUUUGUACACACCGCCCGUCGCUACUACCGAUUGAAUGGCUUAGUGAGGUCUCCGGAUUGACUUCGAGGAACCGGCAACGGUACUUUGUUGUUGAGAAGCUGACCAAACUUGGUCAUUUAGAGG
rnacentral:rRNA from 1 species